GACGAACGCUGGCGGCGUGCCUAAUACAUGCAAGUAGGACGCAGUUGCGAACGGGUGAGUAACGCGUAGGUAACUACCUAUUAGAGGGGGAUAACUAUUGGAAACGAUAGCUCAUACCGCAUACUAGUAGAUGGACCUGCGGUGUAUUUGCUAGUAGGUGGGGUAAUGGCCUACCUAGGCAACGAUACAUAGCCGCACUGGGAGGGUGAUCGGCAAAAAUGGGACUGAGGAACGGCCGAGACUCCUCCGGGGGGGAGCAGUAGGGAAUCUUCGGCAAUGGGGGGAACCCUGACCGAGCACAGCCGCGUGAGUGAAGAAGGGUUUCGGAUCGUAAAGCUCUGUUGUUAAGGAAGCGGUACUUAACCAGAAAGGGACGGCUAACUACGUGCCAGCAGCCGCGGUAAUUC
rnacentral:rRNA from 1 species